UGGGGAAUAUUGCACAAUGGGCGCAAGCCUGAUGCAGCCAUGCCGCGUGUAUGAAGAAGGCCUUCGGGUUGUAAAGUACUUUCAGUCGGGAGGAAGGUGUCAAGGUUAAUAACCUUGGCAAUUGACGUUACCGACAGAAGAAGCACCGGCUAACUCCGUGCCAGCAGCCGCGGUAAUACGGAGGGUGCAAGCGUUAAUCGGAAUUACUGGGCGUAAAGCGCACGCAGGCGGUUGAUUGAGUCAGAUGUGAAAUCCCCUGGCUUAACCCGGGAAUUGCAUCUGAUACUGGUCAGCUAGAGUCUUGUAGAGGGGGGUAGAAUUCCAUGUGUAGCGGUGAAAUGCGUAGAGAUGUGGAGGAAUACCGGUGGCGAAGGCGGCCCCCUGGACAAAGACUGACGCUCAGGUGCGAAAGCGUGGGGAGCAAACAGG
rnacentral:rRNA from 1 species